rnacentral:rRNA from 1 species
CCUACGGGUGGCAGCAGUGAGGAAUAUUGGUCAAUGGGCGGGAGCCUGAACCAGCCAAGCCGCGUGAAGGAAGAAGGCGCCAAGCGUGGUAAACCUCUUUUGUCGGGGAACAAAGGGCGCCACGUGUCGCGUGGUGAGUGUACACGAAGAAAAAGCAUCGGCUAAAACAGUGCCAGCAGCGGCGGUAAUACGGAGGAUGUGAGCGUAAUCGGGGUUUCUUGGGUUAAAAGGGUGGGAAGGCGCUCCGGAAGGUCAGCGGGAAAGACCCGGGGCUAAACCCCGGAGAGCUGUUGAAACUGUGGUGCUAGAGACGGCGAGGAGUACGCGGAAUGCGCGGUGUAGCGGUGAAAUGCGUAGAUAU